UACGGGGGGGGCAAGCGUUGUUCGGAAUUACUGGGCGUAAAGGGCUCGUAGGCGGCCAACUAAGUCAGACGUGAAAUCCCUCGGCUUAACCGGGGAACUGCGUCUGAUACUGGAUGGCUUGAGGUUGGGAGAGGGAUGCGGAAUUCCAGGUGUAGCGGUGAAAUGCGUAGAUAUCUGGAGGAACACCGGUGGCGAAGGCGGCAUCCUGGACCAAUUCUGACGCUGAGUGAGCGAAAGCGUGGGGAGCGAACAGG
rnacentral:rRNA from 1 species